AUGUCGGAACAUGGUUGGAUUAGACUGCACACAGAUGGGACAGUGAAGAAGCCUGGAGAGCUGGAUUUGCGAAGAAUACAUUUGUUAAGUUGGAGUGGCGGAGCUUUGGGAGUAUAUGAAGGUUUGAAUUAUGCUUACCACAAAGGAUAUAGGAAAAUUGAAUUGCACAUAGACAAUAUGGAGGUCCUUAAGGCAAUUAUAUCCGAUAAUGGAUGGAGAUUAAUUUAUAGAAUCAAGAGUAUAAUCAAUUUUGAUUGGGAGAUUCGAAUCAACCACAUUUAUCGUGAAUCAAAUAGAUGCAAUAGAUGCUUUGAUCCUUUAGCUAGUCUAUUAUCAGGACUAUAA